GAUGAACGCUGGCGGCGUGCCUAAUACAUGCAAGUCGAGCGAACAGACGAGGAGCUUGCUCCUCUGACGUUAGCGGCGGACGGGUGAGUAACACGUGGAUAACCUACCUAUAAGACUGGGAUAACUUCGGGAAACCGGAGCUAAUACCGGAUAAUAUAUUGAACCGCAUGGUUCAAUAGUGAAAGACGGUUUUGCUGUCACUUAUAGAUGGAUCCGCGCCGCAUUAGCUAGUUGGUAAGGUAACGGCUUACCAAGGCGACGAUGCGUAGCCGACCUGAGAGGGUGAUCGGCCACACUGGAACUGAGACACGGUCCAGACUCCUACGGGAGGCAGCAGUACGGAAUCUUCCGCAAUGGGCGAAAGCCUGACGGAGCAACGCCGCGUGAGUGAUGAAGGUCUUCGGAUCGUAAAACUCUGUUAUUAGGGAAGAACAAAUGUGUAAGUAACUAUGCACGUCUUGACGGUACCUAAUCAGAAAGCCACGGCUAACUACGUG
rnacentral:rRNA from 1 species